AACGGAUAUCUCGGCUCUCGCCACGAUGAAGAAUGUAGCGAAAUGCGAUACUUAGUGUGAAUUGCAGAAUCCCGUGAAUCAUCAAGUCUUUGAACGCAAGUUGCGCCGGAGGCUUCGGCCAAGGGCACGUCUGCUUGGGCGUCGC
rnacentral:rRNA from 1 species